UACGUAGGUCCCGAGCGUUGUCCGGAUUUAUUGGGCGUAAAGCGAGCGCAGGUGGUUUAUUAAGUCUGGUGUAAAAGGCAGUGGCUCAACCAUUGUAUGCAUUGGAAACUGGUAGACUUGAGUGCAGGAGAGGAGAGUGGAAUUCCAUGUGUAGCGGUGAAAUGCGUAGAUAUCGAGAGGAACACUCGUGGCGAAGGCGGGUUCCUGGACAUUAACUGACGCUGAGGCACGAAGGCCAGGGGAGCGAAAGGG
rnacentral:rRNA from 1 species